GAGCUGCCCCACUGGUUUGGAAAGCCCAUUCCCAGUCCCUCCCAGUCCCAACAAGUGGUUCCUCAUCCCAGAGCUCCUCUGGGGAGCCAUGGGGCUGUUCUUUGUAAGACAAAGGAAUAACUGACCCUGGGUGGUUUUGGGCACCUGUUCACACCUGUGGGAUCCACAGUGGGAUCCUGGAGAGCUUUCAUCCCCUAAUCAUGAGCCAUUCCCUGGGGUGCCACUCCCUCAGCAGCUGGAGGGAUGCAGGAGGUUUAAAAAAAAAAAUCAAAACAACACCUCCGGUUUUAAAUCAGCAAAAUCAGGUUGAGCCUUGAGGAGGAGAUCAUGUCUGGUGUGAGCUGUGCAAUAUUUUAUAUCAAAUCCUCUUUAAUUUCAUUUCAUUUCAUUUCAUUUCAUUUCGCUUUUCUUUUUAGCGGGUUGCGCUUCCUUGCAAAGACAAAGAUCAAUCUGGAGAACAAACAGGGUGAUUUUGUCAAAGUGAAAAAUGCUUGUCUCAGAUGGCUGUGUAAAAAUGAUCCUUCACAGAGAAAUCCAGAGAGUUUAAAAAAAAAAAAAAAAAAAAAAACCCCCCCCCCCCCCCCCCCCCCCCCCCCCCCCCCCCCCCCCCCCCCCCCCCCCCCCCCCCCCCCCCCCCCCCCCCCCCCCCCCCCCCCCCCCCCCCC
rnacentral:lncRNA from 1 species